CCUACGGGAGGCUGCAGUGGGGAAUAUUGGACAAUGGGGGGAACCCUGAUCCAGCCAUGCCGCGUGUGUGAAGAAGGCCCUCGGGUUGUAAAGCACUUUCAGUGAGGAAGAACGCCUGGUGGUUAAUACCCAUCAGGAAAGACAUCACUCACAGAAGAAGCACCGGCUAACUCCGUGCCAGCAGCCGCGGUAAUACGGAGGGUGCGAGCGUUAAUCGGAAUUACUGGGCGUAAAGCGCGCGUAGGUGGCUUGAUAAGCCGGUUGUGAAAGCCCCGGGCUCAACCUGGGAACGGCAUCCGGAACUGUCAAGCUAGAGUGCAGGAGAGGUAGGUAGAAUUCCCGGUGUAGCGGUGAAAUGCGUAGAGAUCGGGAGGAAUACCAGUGGCGAAGGCGGCCUUCUGGACUGAUACUGACACUGAGGUGCGAAAGCGUGGGUAGCAAACAGGAUUAGAUACCCCGGUAGUC
rnacentral:rRNA from 1 species